GAACUGUUCUCUGUGGAAGCUGUUGCUUGUGUCACUGCGGAUGCUUCCCGGGGUCCGGAUGGCUGGUCUGCUGGACUCUCUGGCCAUGGCAUCUGGCAUGUGUCCAUUUGGCUCCGGAUUCCCUUGACCCAUGGCUGCCCUGCCUACUCCUGUGACCCCGGUCUCUACAGGAAUGAAACCUGCUGCUUCUUUGCUGCCUUUCGGAGCUGGGGCUACCCAACUGCCACACCUCGCUCAUCUGAUGAAAGUAAAUUGCACCUUGGAUCUACAGACGUUGAAGUCGCCCCCCUCCUGACCCCAAACUACUGGUUCACAACUUGUAUUUCCAUCUCUAUUGGAAGUGGACUCAAAAUUUCACAGGGUACAGGCCUAAUUACACUAUUGAAAAAAUAUUACAGUUUCUAUUUAUAUUUAAGCACUUAGUAAUUUUACCAUUAAAAUUUUAGUUUGAUACAUAUUUUUAUAGAUUUAUGAUACAGAGAUCACCCA
rnacentral:lncRNA from 1 species